UACGAAGGGAGCUAGCGUUGUUCGGAAUCACUGGGCGUAAAGCGCACGUAGGCGGAUUUGUCAGUCAGGGGUGAAAUCCCGGGGCUCAACCUCGGAACUGCCUUUGAUACAGCAAGUCUUGAGUUCGAGAGAGGUGGGUGGAACUGCGAGUGUAGAGGUGAAAUUCGUAGAUAUUCGCAAGAACACCAGUGGCGAAGGCGGCUCACUGGCCCGGUACUGACGCUGAGGUGCGAAAGCGUGGGGAGCGAACAGG
rnacentral:rRNA from 1 species